rnacentral:rRNA from 1 species
UACAGAGGGUGCAAGCGUUAAUCGGAAUUACUGGGCGUAAAGCGUGCGUAGGUGGAACUAUAAGUCAAUUGUGAAAGCCCUGGGCUUAACCUAGGAAUGGCAAUUGAUACUGUAGUUCUAGAGUAUGGUAGAGGAUAGUGGAAUUUCCGGUGUAGCGGUGAAAUGCUUAGAUAUCGUCAAGAACACCUAUAGCGAAGGCAGCUUACUAGGCUGUAACUGACGCUGAGGCACGAAAGUGUGGGGAUCAAACAGG